rnacentral:rRNA from 1 species
AGAGAUCAUGGCUCAGAACGAACGCUGGCGGCAGGCUUAACACAUGCAAGUCGAACGCACCGCAAGGUGAGUGGCAGACGGGUGAGUAACGCGUGGGAACGUGCCCUUCAGUUCGGAAUAACCCAGGGAAACUUGGGCUAAUACCGGAUACGUGCGAGAGCAGAAAGAUUUAUCGCUGAAGGAUCGGCCCGCGUCUGAUUAGCUAGUUGGUGAGGUAAUGGCUCACCAAGGCGACGAUCAGUAGCUGGUCUGAGAGGAUGAUCAGCCACAUUGGGACUGAGACACGGCCCAAACUCCUACGGGAGGCAGCAGUGGGGAAUAUUGGACAAUGGGCGCAAGCCUGAUCCAGCCAUGCCGCGUGAGUGAUGAAGGCCUUAGGGUUGUAAAGCUCUUUCGUCCGGGACGAUAAUGACGGUACCGGAAGAAGAAGCCCCGGCUAACUUCGUGCCAGCAGCCGCGGUAAUACGAAGGGGGCUAGCGUUGUUCGGAAUCACUGGGCGUAAAGGGCGCGUAGGCGGCUUUAUAAGUCGGGGGUGAAAGCCUGUGGCUCAACCACAGAGUUGCCUUCGAUACUGUAUGGCUUGAGACCGGAAGAGGUUAGUGGAACUGCGAGUGUAGAGGUGAAAUUCGUAGAUAUUCGCAAGAACACCAGUGGCGAAGCGGCUGACUGGUCCGGUUCUGACGCUGAGGCGCGAAAGCGUGGGGAGCAAACAGGAUUAGAUACCCUGGUAGUCCACGCCGUAAACGAUGAAUGCCAGCCGUUGGGCAGCUUGCUGCUCAGUGGCGCAGCUAACGCUUUAAGCAUUCCGCCUGGGGAGUACGGUCGCAAGAU